rnacentral:lncRNA from 1 species
AGUGAGCCGAGAUUGCACCUGCACUCCAGCCUGGGCGACAGAGCAAGAUUCCGUCUCAAAAACAAAACAAACCAGUAACUUAAUCUUGAACUAACACAAGCCAAGGUGCAAUUACUUUACACAGCUAUAGUGCACUGGAAAAAAAAAAAGUUCUCUUAGACUACAUGUUACCAAGAGCACUGGUAGUACAUUAAUGAAAUGUGGGGAUUCCAGAUAAUUCUGAAUAUACACUUACAAAAGUACAGCUACAAAAUUCUCUCCUGGGGACUUUAAUACUUCAUGAAAAUUUUCCCACAGAAGAUUUUGCAAUCAGCUGACAUGAACAGCAGACAUGCUUUAAAGUAAGUUUCUUGCUGUAAAGUUUUAAAUUAGCAUUUUGGUCAAGACUAAGUUAAACCUCAAGUGACUAGUGUAUACUGAGAAAAAAAAUCCCCAGAAAAACAAAGUAACAAACUACUGUGUGGACUUUCAAAAUGAAAAAAUACCACUCUAGUCUGUAACCUAAAAACGUAACUGUGGCAGCUGCCAUUCCUCUGACAGUGCUGCUUUCUACAUCACAAACACCCACCAUGAGAGCAACUCACCUCUUACAGAAAGAAGCAUUUACUAAAGGUUAUAAAACUGCAACCAAGUGCAGUUAGAGUUCAAUUAUCUGAGCCACUAAGAAAGUAAGCAACGAUGUCCUACAUAAUCUACAACUCACAAAUUUGGCCUUAAAAUAUGACCUAAGUAACAGCAGAUUUACCUCACAAAUUAAGUCUUUGCCAGGUGCUAUUAAUUUUACUUUAAUUUGUUUUCUUACCACCCAUCAAUUAAGAGAAAAAGAUGACCUGGAGGCAAUGAAGUGACAGAAGGAAACAAAACAAUUAACCAAACUUAAAGACAGUCAUAAAUGAUCCACAGAUAAUAGCACACAUGAUAUUUUUCAGGGAAUUAUUAUAAAACAAACUUCAUAUAUCUGAAAAAUCAAAUAUAAACACAUUCCAAAAUAGUGCUCAAGAGUGUAUGCGUGUGGAGUGUACACAGGUAAUGCCACAAAUGGGUCUACCGAUACUAAUAACUGCACAAAAACUAUGGAAGGAAUUCCAUGGAGAACAAAUUCCUAGCUGGUUGACCUUUUUUAAUGAUGGUUUUGCUUGGUUUAAAGUUUUACUUUUUCCUGAGAGGUAGAAAGGCUAAAGGAUAAAAGAAAAAAAUAUAUAACAUUUAUUUGCAGGGUACCCAAUACAUCUGGUUAGAAACAACUUGAGAAUUGGCCCGUCAUAUAAAGCAGAAUUUUUCACACAUUUUUCCCCUAUGACUCACAGAAGAAAUACAUUUUACAUGAUGACCCAACAUACAUUUUAAAAAAAAAAGUUUCGCCAAACAGUAUUUACCCUUACUCUCUAUGUACUCUGAUUUUUAGUUCUAUUUCAUUUUUUCUUAAAAGCUGGUCAUGACCCUCUUAAAUUGAUUUUACAAACCAGAAAUAGGUUUUAAUAUAAAGUAUAAAAAAGUAUUCUUUCCAUCUCAUCCAAUUCCUCCAAAUCCAAUUACUGCUUCUAGCAUACAAGAGGAGGGAACAGGGCUUCUUUUAAAACAAAGACUUCCUCCCUGAUCUGGUGCUUACAAAGACAAAAUGCAUUCUUAAAUUACAUUAUUUCAACGAACCAAGUAUUUGAUAAAAUGAAAGUGUUCUUUUUCUCUUUACAGAAUUGUGUAUAAAAGUAAUAAACGAAAAUUACUAUUUAUUUUUCAAAUUCAUACUACCUUCAAUCUAGGAAGCAUGCUACUUUAAGGAUAACAUUUUAAAAAACAUACAAACAUAACAUAAAACUGGAACACUUUGGCAAAUUUUAACAAUUUUCACUUUCAGAAAGCAUUUAGCAAUUGUUUAAGUUUGCAAACAUUAACUUUUCUGGUCCAGUAUCUACAAUGUAAAAGUUCUCUAAAAGAUACUAUUGGUAGGAGUAUAUAUUGGCUCACACACCCUAUUGCAGUUUAGUAGCAUACGAAACAUUUUAAUGAAUUCUUUUUAAAAUUUUUAAUUUUUUAAACUUUUAUUUUAGGUUCAGGGGUACAUGUGCA